UGAAUGAUUAUAAUCUGUCGUAUAUUAUUGGGAAUAUGGCCCAAGAGUUUCUACAGGAGCACCACAAAUGCUCUAACUACGAUGUGACGAG
rnacentral:ncRNA from 1 species